rnacentral:rRNA from 1 species
AUUGAACGCUGGCGGCAUGCUUUACACAUGCAAGUCGAACGGUAACAGGUUAAGCUGACGAGUGGCGAACGGGUGAGUAAUGCAUCGGAACGUGCCCGGUCGUGGGGGAUAACGCAGCGAAAGCUGCGCUAAUACCGCAUACGAUCUGAGGAUGAAAGCGGGGGACCGUGACGCCGCGCGCGCUCGGAGCGGCCGAUGUCAGAUUAGGUAGUUGGUGGGGUAAAGGCUCACCAAGCCGACGAUCUGUAGCUGGUCUGAGAGGACGACCAGCCACACUGGGACUGAGACACGGCCCAGACUCCUACGGGAGGCAGCAGUGGGGAAUUUUGGGCAAUGGGCGCAAGCCUGAUCCAGCAAUGCCGCGUGCAGGAAGAAGGCCUUCGGGUUGUAGACUGCUUUUGUACGGAGCGAAAAGGCUCUCUCUAAUACGGAGGGCUCAUGACGGUACCGUAAGAAUAAGCACCGGCUAACUACGUGCCAGCAGCCGCGGUAACAC